rnacentral:rRNA from 1 species
UGACGUUGGGAAAGCGAGCGGCGGAUGGGUGAGUAACACGUGGGGAACCUGCCCCUAAGUCUGGGAUACCAUUUGGAAACAGGUGCUAAUACCGGAUAAUAAAGCAGAUCGCAUGAUCAGCUUUUGAAAGGCGGCGUAAGCUGUCGCUAAGGGAUGGCCCCGCGGUGCAUUAGCUAGUUGGUAAGGUAACGGCUUACCAAGGCGACGAUGCAUAGCCGAGUUGAGAGACUGAUCGGCCACAUUGGGACUGAGACACGGCCCAAACUCCUACGGGAGGCAGCAGUAGGGAAUCUUCCACAAUGGACGCAAGUCUGAUGGAGCAACGCCGCGUGAGUGAAGAAGGUUUUCGGAUCGUAAAGCUCUGUUGUUGGUGAAGAAGGAUAGAGGUAGUAACUGGCCUUUAUUUGACGGUAAUCAACCAGAAAGUCACGGCUAACUACGUGCCAGCAGCCGCGGUAAUACGUAGGUGGCAAGCGUUGUCCGGAUUUAUUGGGCGUAAAGCGAGCGCAGGCGGAAAAAUAAGUCUAAUGUGAAAGCCCUCGGCUUAACCGAGGAACUGCAUCGGAAGCUGUUUUUCUUGAGUGCAGAAGAGGAGAGUGGAACUCCAUGUGUAGCGGUGGAAUGCGUAGAUAUAUGGAAGAACACCAGUGGCGAAGGCGGCUCUCUGGUCUGCAACUGACGCUGAGGCUCGAAAGCAUGGGUAGCGAACAGGAUUAGAUACCCUGGUAGUCCAUGCCGUAAACGAUGAGUGCUAAGUGUUGGGAGGUUUCCGCCUCUCAGUGCUGCAGCUAACGCAUUAAGCACUCCGCCUGGGGAGUACGACCGCAAGGUU